GACGAACGCUGGCGGCGUGCUUAACACAUGCAAGUCGAACGAUGAAGCCGGAGCUUGCUCUGGUGAAUUAGUGGCGAACGGGUGAGUAACACGUGAGUAACCUGCCCUUGACUCUGGGAUAACUGCGGGAAACUGUAGCUAAUACCGGAUACGACCCUCGGAGGCAUCUCCUGGGGGUGGAAAGAAUUUCGGUCAAGGAUGGACUCGCGGCCUAUCAGCUAGUUGGUGAGGUAAAGGCUCACCAAGGCGACGACGGGUAGCCGGCCUGCGAGGGUGACCGGCCACACUGGGACUGAGACACGGCGCAGACUCCUACGGGAGGCAGCAGUGGGGAAUAUUGCACAAUGGGCGCAAGCCUGAUGCAGCAACGCCGCGUGUGGGAUGACGGCCUUCGGGUUGUAAACCUCUUUUAGCAGGGAAGAAGCGAAAGUGACGGUACCUGCAGAAAAAGCACCGGCUAACUACGUGCCAGCAGCCGCGGUAA
rnacentral:rRNA from 1 species